AAACCAACAGGGAUUGCCUUAGUAACGGCGAGUGAAGCGGCAAAGGCUCAAAUUUGAAAUCUAGCACUUUCAGUGUUCGAGUUGUAAUUUGAAGAAGGUAACUUUGGAAUUGGCUCUUGUCUAUGUUCCUUGGAACAGGACGUCACAGAGGGUGAGAAUCCCGUGCGAUGAGAUGUCCAAUUCUAUGUAAAGUGCUUUCGAAGAGUCGAGUUGUUUGGGAAUGCAGCUCUAAGUGGGUGGUAAAUUCCAUCUAAAGCUAAAUAUUGGCGAGAGACCGAUAGCGAACAAGUACAGUGAUGGAAAGAUGAAAAGAACUUUGAAAAGAGAGUGAAAAAGUACGUGAAAUUGUUGAAAGGGAAGGGCUUGAGAUCAGACUUGGUAUUUUGUGUUCCUUAUCCUUCUUGGGAUUAGGUUCCUCACAGCUUACCGGGCCAGCAUCGGUUGGAUGGCAGGAUAAUGACAUUGGAAUGUAGCUUUGCUUCGGUGAAGUGUUAUAGACUUUGUUGUAA
rnacentral:rRNA from 1 species